rnacentral:rRNA from 1 species
UGGGUAAUCUUUGAACGUGAAUCGUGCUGGGGAUAGAUGAUUGCAAUUAUUCAUCUUCAACGAGGAAUUCCUAGUAAACGCAAGUCAUCAGCUUGCAUUGAUUACGUCCCUGCCCUUUGUACACACCGCCCGUCGCACCUACCGAUUGAAUGGUCCGGUGAAAUCUUCGGAUCUGAGAGAUGCUGGAUUCAUUUUUGGCGUCUUUUAGAAAAGUUGCUUAAACCUUAUCAUUUAGGGGAAGGUGAAGUCGUAACAAGGUUUCCGUAGGUGAACCUGCGGAAGGAUCAUUA